rnacentral:tRNA from 1 species
CUUAGCCAAGUGGUAAGGCAUUGGACUCUGACUCCAACAUUCAUAGGUUCGAACCCUAUAGC